rnacentral:rRNA from 1 species
CUCCUUGCGGGCGAGUAAUUCCAUGAUCGCUAUAAGAUGCACGAGAGCGAAAGCAUUUCACUCAAUUGCGUUCAUUAAUCAAGAACGAAAGUUAGGGGAUCGAAGACGAUCAGAUACCGUCGUAGUCCUAACUAUAAACGAUGUCAACCAAGGAUUGGAUUAGUUUUAGAGAAACAGAAGUUCAAUAUCAUUGAUAUUGAGCAGACGGAUCUCGCUUCCACCUUGUUCAGAACUUAAAGAGAAAUCUUGAGUUCAUGGACUUCAGGGGGAGUAUGGUCACAAGGCUGAAACUUAAAGGAAUUGACGGAAGGGCACACCAGGAGUGGAGCCUGCGGCUUAAUUUGACUCAACACGGGAAAACUUACCAAGACCGAACAGUAUUAGGAAUGACAGAUUAAGGGUUCUUUCAUGAUUUAUUGGGUAGUGGUGCAUGGCCGUUCUUAGUUGGUGGAGUGAUUUGUCAGGUUAAUUCCGGUAACGAACGAGACUGAAGCCUAUUAAUUAGUUUCUCGCCUAUAAGACGAGAACGUCCUUCGGGAUGGGUGUUUUCAUCACUUCUUAAAGGGACUAAUAUCAAUUGUUUCUCGGUUAAUUAGUGUCUUCAUUUCGAUGGAACCUCUUUAAUCGGAAAAAAAGAUAAUGGAAGCAUUCAGCAAUAACAGGUCUGUGAUGCCCCUAUACAUCUUGGGCUGCACGCGCGCUACAAUGGAGAUACUAGCGAGCGUUUGGCGAGUGAGCUCAUUUAAUUGAUUCUGUCAAUUGAGUGAGAUAUCGUUUCGUUGUACCGAGAUCGAAACGGUAUAGGAAAACUCAAAAGAUCGUACAUGACAGGAUAAAUGAUUGGAAUUAUUUGUUAGAGGGGGUUUUCUUUUUCUU